AAAAAUUUAUUUGAAAUAACUCUCACGUCUUCAUUCAACUACUAAUUAGCAUUAUUUAUUAGCAAUAGCAGGUUUCAGGAUCAUACACUGAUAAAAUUCUAAAGAAGAGAAAAUUGGAAUGCACCAAGUUUGAUUCGUGAAUUCAAUGGGAAAAAAUGGAACAUGCAGCUCAACAAGCUUCAGAGUGUAUAGAUAACGGAAUCCAUAUUCGGAAACAAGGAAAUGGGUACAAGAUUUUCAUAAAUGGUUACAAGAUUUUCAUAUGGAAGGACGGGGAUACUAUUAGGAUGGGAAAUUUCUCAUUUACCGACUCCUGAAAAAAUUGUUAGAUGUUGAGUUAUACAAAAAA